UACGUAGGGUGCAAGCGUUAAUCGGAAUUACUGGGCGUAAAGCGUGCGCAGGCGGCUUUGCAAGACAGGUGUGAAAUCCCCGGGCUUAACCUGGGAACUGCAUUUGUGACUGCAUCGCUGGAGUGCGGCAGAGGGGGAUGGAAUUCCGCGUGUAGCAGUGAAAUGCGUAGAUAUGCGGAGGAACACCGAUGGCGAAGGCAAUCCCCUGGGCCUGCACUGACGCUCAUGCACGAAAGCGUGGGGAGCAAACAGG
rnacentral:rRNA from 1 species